GAACAGCUGCCAUACAUGCAAACAUCUAGUUAAAGAUGAGCAGAUUCUGAAACAAAUAACAGUAAAAACAAACCGUGCCUAUGUGUGUUCGUUUUGUAUCCGUUGUACUCCCAUGGGGAUUGUCAGUUAAGCAAUUUAGUUGUUGAAUAGCACUUGAAGUUGAAUCAGUUUAAAGUAAGAGAGAUAAUCAUCAACACCGUGUACACAGCCACCAAUAAAUCAUUUGUCAACAUGGCGGCCGCAACCCAAAGAGCCCUAUUCAUUGUGAACAUAGAGCAAGGAUCCGAAUCAGAAGGUUUAUUCCAUGGAAUGUAUGGCAGUCUAAUGACCAGAUUGAAAAGUAGAGCAAGAUUAAAUGCAACAACUGUCGACUCGAUUAAAGCGUUACAAACGCACUGUGCUGCAUGCAAUCCUAAGGAAACCGUUCUAUUGUUCACCAACGAAGUAAUUGCAAAGAGAACAGAACUACACGAUAUGCUCAAGCACUUUCUCAGCGGAGGUGGACUGGCUAUAAUUGGCUGUUUGUUUUCAUCGUUUACGACAGCACCAAUGGCAGAUACCCUGUUCCAAGCGUUGGGUCUACACUGGAAGCAUGCAGAUUGUUAUCGAACAACAUUUGGCCUAACUGAUAUGGGCCAUUCUCUGCUAACUGAGGUAUCAUCAAGAUAUUCCGCUAUGGCUGUGCAGCUGAAAGACGUCCCUAAUAACCAAAAACUCUACAAGCCAGUGGCUGAUGCCACAACCGAGUCGGAUGUAUUUUCGUUGAAGCCAGCGGAUGCGAAUUUAGUGAUGGCAGCAUUUGGAAAAGUUGGAAAGGGGGCUGUUGCAUAUAUAGGCGAUAUGAAUGCGGAGGACGAGAGUGAUCGCUUGAUAAUAGCUCUUUGCUCGGCAACGUGGUAAACACAACUUUGGUCGAUCGAUGCAAUUUUUUCGGUUGAGUUUGAAAUUAGAUUCCACAAUUUUGUCAAUAAAUUUUCC